UACGUAGGGGGCAAGCGUUGUCCGGAUUUAUUGGACGUAAAGCGCUCGCAGGUGGUUCGUUGCGUCGUGCGUGAAAGACCCCGGCUCAACUGGGGGGUGUCGUGCGAUACGGGCGGACUGGAGGCCAGUAGGGGGAUGCGGAAUUCCGGGUGUAGUGGUGGAAUGCGUAGAGAUCCGGAGGAACACCAGCGGCGAAGGCGGCAUCCUGGACUGGUCCUGACACUCAGGAGCGAAAGCGUGGGGAGCGAUCCGG
rnacentral:rRNA from 1 species